CUUGGUGGUGGUAGCAACCACGAAAAUGAGAAUUCAGAAGACUGCAGUGGAGGAAGGUUCCAUGUGAACAGCAUAUGGACAG
rnacentral:rRNA from 9 species